rnacentral:pre_miRNA from 1 species
UUUCUACUCCCUCCGUCCCAAAUUACCUGUCUUAGUUUUGUCUAGAUACGUAUGUAUCUAGACAUGUUUUAGUGUUAGAUAUGAAUGUAUCUAGACAAAUCUAAGACAACUAAUUUAGAAUGGAGAUAAUAUUAG